rnacentral:rRNA from 1 species
AGUGGGGAAUAUUGGACAAUGGGCGCAAGCCUGAUCCAGCCAUGCCGCGUGAGUGAUGAAGGCCUUAGGGUUGUAAAGCUCUUUCACCGAUGAAGAUAAUGACGGUAGUCGGAGAAGAAGCCCCGGCUAACUUCGUGCCAGCAGCCGCGGUAAUACGAAGGGGGCUAGCGUUGUUCGGAUUUACUGGGCGUAAAGCGCACGUAGGCGGUUUGUUAAGUCAGGGGUGAAAUCCCAGAGCUCAACUCUGGAACUGCCUUUGAUACUGGCAAGCUAGAGUCCGGAAGAGGUAAGUGGAACUCCUAGUGUAGAGGUGGAAUUCGUAGAUAUUAGGAAGAACACCAGUGGCGAAGGCGGCUUACUGGUCCGGAACUGACGCUGAGGUGCGAAAGCGUGGGGAGCAAA